UUUAGCUCGCGCAGAGCGACGCUGGCGGCUGCCUAACACAUGCAAGUCGAACGUGAACGGGAGCAAUCCCUAGUAAAGUGGCGUACGGGUGAGUAACACUAGGUAAUCUACCCUAGAGUUUGGAAUAACCGGGCCGAAAGGCUGGCUAAUACUGGAUAGAGCGACGGAAUCCGUAAUGGGUUUUCGGGAAAGGGAGCUCGCAAGAGCCUUCGCUUUAGGAUGAGCCUGCGUCCCAUCAGCUAGUUGGUAAGGUAAUGGCUUACCAAGGCUAUGACGGGUAGGCUGGUCUGAGAGGAUGAUCAGCCACACUGGAACUGAAACACGGUCCAGACUCCUACGGGAGGCAGCAGUGGGGAAUCUUGCGCAAUGGACGAAAGUCUGACGCAGCCACGCCGCGUGAGUGAAGAAGGCCUUCGGGUUGUAAAGCUCUGUCGGGAGGGACGAAAACUCUUGGAGUGAAUAGCUUCAGGAAUUGACGGUACCUUCAAAGGAAGCACCGGCUAACUCUGUG
rnacentral:rRNA from 1 species